CAGAUGUUGACGGCGCAUUUCAUUAUGAUUACGAGUCUCUGCGAAUCGGGGGCCUGAUAUUCGCGGUGGUGCUCUUCCUGAUGGGAAUCGUCCUCAUCCUCAGCCGAAAGUGUCGCUGCAGGUUCAAUCAGCAGCAACGGACUGGAUUACCUGACGCAGAGGCAGGAGCCAUGAAAUGAGAAAAAUAAAGGCAACAGAUGGACGUGUCUUCAUUUCUCGCAGUUAUACCGGUUUGCCAUCCUCAUCUCACCUCUGCUCAUGAUCUUCCUGCAAUACUACAUCUUGCCAUUAGAGAGCAGUCUAAGAGUCCAGAACCGAAGAGGACUUCCCUUCGACUGAAAUGAUCCCGUUUCAAGAGCGCAGGAAGCUUCUGUAAAUUUCUUCCUGGUCCAACGUUCUAUUUUUAUGUCUUCUCUUUGCUUUUUAUUUCUUUUUUUCUAUACGACUGUUUCGAAAGGGUUUUGAAAACGAUUUUAACUGAGUUUGUUGUAUUUUAAGAAACCUCCCUUCGGAUGUUAGAGGCAAUAAAAUAUUUUGACCAAAUCUCCCUGUUCAUUAUUUUACAAAUACUUAUCAUAUAAAUCUUAUUCUGUUGUAUUCAUUAUCCUUAUUU